GUGCUUGCUUCAGCAGCACAUAUACUAGAAUUGGAACACAGAGUACAGUAACACGACCCCUGAACAAGGAUGACAUUCAAAUUCGUGAAGUGCUCCAUAUUUUU